rnacentral:tRNA from 1 species
GCCGGUGUAGCUCAACGGGUAGAGCAACCGCCUUGUAAGCGGUAGGUUGUGGGUUCGAGUCCUUCCACCGGCACCA